UACGGGGGGAGCAAGCGUUGUUCGGAUUUACUGGGCGUAAAGGGCGCGUAGGCGGCCAGCACAAGUCAGUUGUGAAAUCUCCGAGCUUAACUCGGAAAGGUCAACUGAUACUGUGCGGCUAGAGUGCGGAAGGGGCAACUGGAAUUCUUGGUGUAGCGGUGAAAUGCGUAGAUAUCAAGAGGAACACCCGCGGCGAAGGCGGGUUGCUGGGCCGACACUGACGCUGAGGCGCGAAAGCCAGGGGAGCGAACGGG
rnacentral:rRNA from 1 species